UAACAACAUUUUAUAUAGAAAAUAUGUCCGAUAACAACUAUUUCUACAGAAAAGUUGUCAGAUAACAACUAUUGCUAAAAAAAGUUGUCUGAUAAAAACAUUUUCUAUAGAAAAAUGUUCCGAUAACAACAUUUUCUAUAGAAAAGUUGUCCGAUAACAGUAUUUUCUAUAGAAAAUUGUCCGAUAAUAACAUUUUCUAUAGGAAAAUUGUCCGAUAACAACAUUUUCAAUAGAAAAGUUGUCCGAUAACUACCUUUUCUAUAGAAAAGUUGUCCGAUAACAACCCUUUCUAUAGAAAAGAUAUCC